rnacentral:misc_RNA from 1 species
AAACUUGCGAAAGAAAGCCCACAAACCCUAGUUCGUGCUUUAAGGGUGGUUGAAAUGCAAGAGAUUCUUGAUCAACAACUUGCUGAGGAGGCAGCUGAGGCUGAAGGAGGUGGUGCAAUGGCAACAAUUGCAAAUCCUCGCAGAUCUGCCACAAAAUCUACUUCUACAAUGGCUUCUUCUGAAAAGCCUACACAACAGAAGUUAAAGGUUCAGGGAAAGGGGUACAAGGAUAAAUGCUAUGAGCAAAUUAGGAAGUCAGUUGAAGGACGUUUCAACAGGCUGCUAACGGAGUUUGUCUUUCAAGACCUCAAAGCAGCUUUAGAAGAAGCCCGUACGAUUGGAGAAGAGCUUGGAGAUAUUUAUGAUUAUGUAGCCCCAUGUUUUCCCCCAAGAUAUGAAAUAUUUCAACUGAUGGUAAAUCUG